rnacentral:rRNA from 1 species
CACCGAAGCUGCGGCAGCGACACUGUGUGUUGUUGGGUAGGGGAGCGUUCUGUAAGCCUGUGAAGGUGUGUCGUGAGGCAUGCUGGAGGUAUCAGAAGUGCGAAUGCUGACAUAAGUAACGAUAAAGCGGGUGAAAAGCCCGCUCGCCGGAAGACCAAGGGUUCCUGUCCAACGUUAAUCGGGGCAGGGUGAGUCGACCCCUAAGGCGAGGCCGAAAGGCGUAGUCGAUGGGAAACGGGUUAAUAUUCCCGUACUUGGUGUUACUGCGAAGGGGGGACGGAGAAGGCUAUGUUGGCCGGGCGACGGUUGUCCCGGUUUAAGCGUGUAGGUGUGUGUUCCAGGUAAAUCCGGUUCACUUUAACACUGAGGCGUGACGACGAGGCACUACGGUGCUGAAGCAACAAAUGCCCUGCUUCCAGGAAAAGCCUCUAAGCAUCAGGUAACAUCAAAUCGUACCCCAAACCGACACAGGUGGUCAGGUAGAGAAUACCAAGGCGCUUGAGAGAACUCGGGUGAAGGAACUAGGCAAAAUGGUGCCGUAACUUCGGGAGAAGGCACGCUGACACGUAGGUGAAGUGAUUUACUCAUGGAGCUGAAGUCAGUCGAAGAUACCAGCUGGCUGCAACUGUUUAUUAAAAACACAGCACUGUGCAAACACGAAAGUGGACGUAUACGGUGUGACGCCUGCCCGGUGCCGGAAGGUUAAUUGAUGGGGUCAGCGCAAGCGAAGCUCCUGAUCGAAGCCCCGGUAAACGGCGGCCGUAACUAUAACGGUCCUAAGGUAGCGAAAUUCCUUGUCGGGUAAGUUCCGACCUGCACGAAUGGCGUAAUGAUGGCCAGGCUGUCUCCACCCGAGACUCAGUGAAAUUGAACUCGCUGUGAAGAUGCAGUGUACCCGCGGCAAGACGGAAAGACCCCGUGAACCUUUACUAUAGCUUGACACUGAACAUUGAGCCUUGAUGUGUAGGAUAGGUGGGAGGCUUUGAAGUGUGGACGCCAGUCUGCAUGGAGCCGACCUUGAAAUACCACCCUUUAAUGUUUGAUGUUCUAACGUGGACCCGUUACCCGGGUUGCGGACAGUGUCUGGUGGGUAGUUUGACUGGGGCGGUCUCCUCCUAAAGAGUAACGGAGGAGCACGAAGGUUGGCUAAUCCUGGUCGGACAUCAGGAGGUUAGUGCAAUGGCAUAAGCCAGCUUGACUGCGAGCGUGACGGCGCGAGCAGGUGCGAAAGCAGGUCAUAGUGAUCCGGUGGUUCUGAAUGGAAGGGCCAUCGCUCAACGGAUAAAAGGUACUCCGGGGAUAACAGGCUGAUACCGCCCAAGAGUUCAUAUCGACGGCGGUGUUUGGCACCUCGAUGUCGGCUCAUCACAUCCUGGGGCUGAAGUAGGUCCCAAGGGUAUGGCUGUUCGCCAUUUAAAGUGGUACGCGAGCUGGGUUUAGAACGUCGUGAGACAGUUCGGUCCCUAUCUGCCGUGGGCGCUGGAGAACUGAGGGGGGCUGCUCCUAGUACGAGAGGACCGGAGUGGACGCAUCACUGGUGUUCGGGUUGUCAUGCCAAUGGCACUGCCCGGUAGCUAAAUGCGGAAGAGAUAAGUGCUGAAAGCAUCUAAGCACGAAACUUGCCCCGAG